rnacentral:tRNA from 1 species
GGCUCAAUGGUCUAGGUAUGUUUUCCUGCUGCACCAUCCAUUCCGACACGCUGACCAUAAACAAGUGGUAUGAUUGAUGCUUUGGGUCACGUGCCACAAAUGUAUCAGGUCCCGUGUUCAAUCCACGGUUGAGCCC